AUUGAACGCUGGCGGCAGGCCUAACACAUGCAAGUCGAGCGGAGCGGCGGACGGGUGAGAAAUGCCUAGGAAUCUGCCUGGUAGUGGGGGAUAACGUCCGGACACGGGCGCUAAUACCGCAUACUAUCAGAUGAGCCUAGGUCGGAUUAGCUAUUUGGUGGGGUAAAGGCCGACCAAGGCGAAGAUCCGUAACUGGUUUGAGAGUAUGAUCAGUCACACUGGAACUGAGAAACGGUCCACACUCCUACGUGAUGCAGCAGGUGGGAAUAUUGGACAAUGGGCGAAAGCCUUAUCCACCCAUGCCGCGUGUGUGAAGAAGGUCUUCGGAUUGUAAAGCACUUUCAGUUGGGAGGCGUUACCAACAGAAUAAGCACCGGCUAACUUCGUGCCAGCAGCCGCGAAUUC
rnacentral:rRNA from 1 species